GCGUGUCGAUACAUUGAUUUGCCGCCGCUGUUUCUGGCUCGGCUGUGUGUGAUGGCCAAACAGGCGUGAUGCCGUUACAUAUUUAAUAAAUAAAACUAGACUAACGGCCCUCCAAAUGCUCCUGUUCUGUGUUUUCCCCCUGGAACUGAACGGUGUCAACAGUUUUAGAAACACUGGGCCGACCAGGGCUCGAAGGUUUUCGCUUUUUCCGCCGCUGUCCGAGGAAUACUGGGUAGUUUGACUAAAUCACAGCCCGUACAGCAUCUAUCGAUAAGUUGCAAAGGAGUGCACGAAAAUCAGAACCAGACCCUCCCAUGAUGCAACAGUGAGGCCCGCCCUGCCUUUUGGAAACCUAGCACAGCAAACCCGCCAGAACUGGACAAGGUCCUGGAUCCGGUACCCUGAAGAGCAGGUCCCACCUCACACAGCGGGACCAGCGCCCGGGCCUCUUAGUAACGGCGCGUAAACGAGAGCCCCACAAUGCAUCCCGCCCGAACUUCGGGACGAUGUCAAAGAGAAGAUUUUCUUUGUGACUGAAUCGUCUUGGCAUCAGAAUUAAGAGCCCCCACCAAUCCCCCCCCCCCCCCUUGUGGAACUGGGCCGUCUGGCGAUUGGGUGUAACCAUGGCGACCGCGGCGGCAGAGCACCUGGCGAACGCGGCCCCUCGAAUUCGUGACUCCUGAAGGACGGCGGUAUUAAUAGCGGAAAAGGGUGGGAGCCGGCGGCCCCGUGACAGCUGUGUCCCAGCCGACGCCCGGAGGACAGAUGUUGGAAUAAUCUGCACGUGGCCCUUCCUUGGGGGGCGCCGAGACACAGCGCUGCGGAUACGCAUCAUCAGCCAAGAUGGAGGCCGCCCCAAGCGGAGAAGCGCCGGGAGGCCCAGAUUUAUUUCCCGAAAAAGUAAAUAAACAGCGCCGAAGUGAUGAUUCAUUAGAUUGCGGCGAUGCGCGUGAUUUUCCCCGCAAAGAUGGAAUCCGCCGCGAACAAAAUGGAAGACAA